rnacentral:rRNA from 1 species
GAAUAUUGGACAAUGGGCGCAAGCCUGAUCCAGCCAUGCCGCGUGAGUGAUGAAGGCCUUAGGAUUGUAAAGCUCUUUCACCGGAGAAGAUAAUGACGGUAUCCGGAGAAGAAGCCCCGGCUAACUUCGUGCCAGCAGCCGCGGUAAUACGAAGGGGGCUAGCGUUGUUCGGAAUUACUGGGCGUAAAGCGCACGUAGGCGGAUAUUUAAGUCAGGGGUGAAAUCCCAGAGCUCAACUCUGGAACUGCCUUUGAUACUGGGUAUCUAGAGUAUGGAAGAGGUGAGUGGAAUUCCGAGUGUAGAGGUGAAAUUCGUAGAUAUUCGGAGGAACACCAGUGGCGAAGGCGGCUCACUGGUCCAUUACUGACGCUGAGGUGCGAAAGCGUGGGGAGCAAACAG